GGUGGCCAACAGAGUGGCGUCGGACUCCUCCGUCGGUCGGCGAGCUUCAAGUGGGUCGGCUACCGGACCUCUGGGUUCAGUCGGUCGGGAAUAGACCGUGGAAUGGUCGUGGUUAGCCGUUGAUGGCGUCCGUUGGCCUGCCGUCCGACUUACGAUCGGCCAGUCAGAGUCGUUCGUCGGGCCGUCGGUUAGUCGGUCGGG
rnacentral:lncRNA from 1 species